GGAAUAAGUGUGAUUUUUGAGAAAUAUUUUGUAUGGAGAGAGUCUAGUGUCGGUUCAUUUCAUAUUCCUGCUGUUUACUACAUUCUGGAUAGACAAUAUUUACAUCUGACGCGAAACGGGAAUGCAUACAGCUGCAUCCCUUGAACUCCACGAAGACUGAAGUUUGCAUCGUUAAAUGAGACUGUCUAUGAAGGAUUUUCUGUUUGCAUCACCAGCUGUUCCUACCCAACACUCCUGUCGCCUAGCAAGUGUGUGACCGCUGCCAUCAACACACAGCAGAGACGUUUCUGACUGCUAAAUCAUCCUAAAACAACACUGUAACAAAUGCCUCUAGUUUUCAAAGCACUAUUAAUGUAAAAUGAACCAAUAUUUACUGUAGAACCUGUGGACCGCAUGUUGCUGUAGAUCUGCAAAACAUCAUAACGUCAUAAUAAUUCUACAGUACAUUUUUACUGUGAAUCACAAUAUAGUAAUCUUGAGUGAGUUUUUAUUUUUUUAGCAGUAGAAACAAAUCCGAUUCAACACUUUCUUCAAUUCAGCAACAUAACUUUGCUCGUUAUUUUGCCAUGUUAAUUUACCUCUUGUAAAGUUACCUGUAUUCAAGAGUGCACUGGGACACAGAUGUAUGCGGCACCGUUCUUAGUAAGCUGUGCAUAUUAUUACACAAAAUGAACUACUCGCAUACAAACUUUUGAUAUAUUUUCAUAUACCGCAACAGGUAAGACUUUAA